rnacentral:ncRNA from 1 species
UAAUAUUCUCAGGGCGGGGCGGAAUUCCCCACCGGUGGUAGGUCAGAAAUAAGUCUGACGAGCCCACGAGCGCCUGAUAUGUAUCAGGGUCAGCAGAUCUGGUUCCAAGCCAGAGCCGACGGUUAUAGUCCGGAUGAGAGAGAAUUAAG